ensembl:snoRNA
AGCGAGACUAGAGUCACAUCCUGACACCUUCCUCAUUGUCCUGGUGUGCUAUAGUACUCGCAGAGAAACUCUUUGCUAAUUCAUUAGCCGCUGCUCUUCAUUUGCCCGGCUAAUCACCCGCUCAGAAACAUCA